rnacentral:rRNA from 1 species
GUAGUCCACGCCCUAAACGAUGCGAACUGGAUGUUGGGUGCAAUUUGGCACGCAGUAUCGAAGCUAACGCGUUAAGUUCGCCGCCUGGGGAGUACGGUCGCAAGACUGAAACUCAAAGGAAUUGACGGGGGCCCGCACAAGCGGUGGAGUAUGUGGUUUAAUUCGAUGCAACGCGAAGAACCUUACCUGGCCUUGACAUGCACGGAACUUUCCAGAGAUGGAUUGGUGCCUUCGGGAACCGUGACACAGGUGCUGCAUGGCUGUCGUCAGCUCGUGUCGUGAGAUGUUGGGUUAAGUCCCGCAACGAGCGCAACCCUUGUCCUUAGUUGCCAGCACGUAAUGGUGGGAAC